UACACGUCGGAGAAUCAGAGUUUUCUGUACUUUUCGGUAGUUUUCGUAAAAGGUUAAUAAUCAGAACGGUGUUGUAUUCCAUAUCUACCGGAUGAAUUACUCUACCGCGUCGUUUCGACCGUAUCUUCCACUGUUCUUAUUCAGUUUGUAACUCAGGGGUCCUGGGUUCGAUCCUCACAUGCGGCGCUGAUUUUUUUCAUGGGAGUUUCCUCUGGCAAGACUGCAGAGCCCUAGCCUAGUACUGGUGAAACCCAGGAAGCAUAAAUAAUUGAAUCUUUGCCUUAAUGAAAGUUAAAUACACUGCCGUAAACACCAUACAAACAAACACCUCAAGAUAUAUGAGCCAACAGCAAAGAGAAGCUGCUCUUUUAAGAAAGGCAGCAGAUUUGUUGAAUGUCAACACAAGUGACAGGAGUACACAAUACCAGCACCAGCACCAGUGCUGCAAAGGCAAUUUUUGCACCUGAGAGUAAAAUAAGGAGGCAUGGACAUGCAAAUACAGGAACUGUGGCAGUAUCAGCACUGGACUAUUACACCCAGGUGCUAUCAGGUCCCUUGUUACAACUGAAGACCCCUGUUGAAGGAGCUAGACGAGACCCAAAAAGACACCAGCACAGCGGUGAAUCAGAUUAACUGGAGCUACAAGCAGCUUAAGAAAAAUCUUCAGGGACCAGUCUAAAUGUUCUGAUAAUGAUAAUAGAGUGUGCUAUGUGUUUUAUUUCUAAGAAUUUUGGCUACUCUGUAUUCAAUAUCCGAAGUGGUAUCUAAUUAAGAUUUAGAAAAAAUAAGGCCAAUCUUAAUAAAAAAUAUUCUGCUGGUUGGAACAUAUUGAACUGUUUAUUCAAUCAUGCAGCAAUUUGUUGUUUGCCAUUUGAGCAUUUGGCAUGCUUAAGCUCAACAUAAUAUUAGAAAAAUUGAUUUAUUUCACAUUAUUUAACUUAUCUUGCGAUGAUUUUACAAACAUAUUGUUCACUUAUUUUGUACAUUGGUAAGCAGAUAUGUUCUUGCUAGAUUUCAAUGGUGUAUUUUUUAGUAAAAAUGUCUUGCAUUUCUUUUUUGUUGUGCUGACAUUGAGACAUUAGUUAUAAUUUGUUUGCAGUAAACGGCCUAGGUUAAGUAGACCUGGUAUUCAUUCAAAUUGAGCCGCGUUCUGGGGAAAUUGGCUUUAUGCAUGAGUGUGAAGUGUCCUUCCUGAUUAGCUUAUGUGGUCCACACAUGCUUAUCCGGGACAACAAUUUCGGCCUAGACUGGAUUUUCUUUUUCUAAAAUACUUUCCUUCAACGAAAAUUCUCAUAAAACCAGAAAGUUUCUUCCCUGAUUAGCCUGUGCCGUACAAGUAAAUCUGCGACGACACUUUAGGAACAUGCAUUAAAACCCCAUUUUCCCUACAGCAAGGGUCAAUUGUAUGUUUUUCCUUUCAAUAUUCACAUGCCCUUUAUUUUAGGAUCAUACAGAUUCUAAAUGCCUAUUUAUUGUAAGCUGAAUAUUCAGUCAUAACCAAAAAGCGUCAUAAGAUCUUUAAUAAGACAGGACCCUGAAUUCUAGCAUUUAAUGAGGUUAUGUGCUUUUCCACACUCAUUCUAUGUCUUUUUAUAAGUAAUAGGUGAACACUAGCAACAAUAUAAUUUGCUACCAAAAAUGUUUUCCAUACAGUACUUUCUUGACAUGAAAGAAGUUAACACGGUAAAAAAAAGUUUGGCAAACAAAAUGACAGGUAUUACUUUCUUUGUGGUUCAAUUGUAUUUAUUUUACACAAAUUAGAACACCAUGAUGAAGUAUACGUAAUUAACAAAUAUAAAUCAGUUUAUUUAUUAACCCAUUUAUACCUAGUGGACUAUCCCAUCCUUCUAAAUUGGAUCAAUUUUUUUCUAAAAUUAGGGAUGUCUAGUAUAUUUAUUUCUAUAUUUAGAAUAUUUCUUACAGAAAUUCCUUUAAGCAAACAGCGCUGACCCUGAUGAGACGCCACAUUAUGCGGGUUCUCAUCUGGGUCUACGCUGUUUGCCAAGGCCUUUUUUCUAGAUGUUAGGCAUAAAUGGGUUAAGCAUCCAAGCAUUUACAUAUAACCGGACAGUAGUGCAAUCUCACAUGUAUAUGUAGGUUUUUAACUUAUAUUGCACCAGUGUAGAUUGUUUUGAAAACAAUUGUAUGAUCAUGGUAAAGUUGCAUAUGUCUAGUCAUAGGCAGUAUGUGUGGGAUACACAGCAACAGGACCGGGGGGAUCAUUUUGUUUUCAGAUGAUGUUUAUGUAAUGUGUGUUUCAUUCUUAUUUUUAUUUAACCAG